rnacentral:rRNA from 1 species
UACGUAGGGUGCAAGCGUUAAUCGGAAUUACUGGGCGUAAAGCGUGCGCAGGCGGCUUUGCAAGACAGAUGUGAAAUCCCCGGGCUAACCUGGGAACUGCAUUUGUGACUGCAUGGCUAGAGUGCGGCAGAGGGGGAUGGAAUUCCGCGUGUAGCAGUGAAAUGCGUAGAUACCACCCAGAACUCCGAUUGCGAAGGCAGCCUACUGGAGGUCAACCCGACGCUCAGGCACGAAAGCGUGGGGAUCAAACAGGG